rnacentral:lncRNA from 1 species
ACUUGUAGUAGUCGGUCGAGUUUUUGAAAUAAUUCAUCCACCCUACUAUCGAUGUUUAUGGAAUGACCUACCUCAUAAAUUCCAUCUUUUUUUAGUCCAAUCAUGGGAGGGUCUCUACAGGCGACAGACAUGUGGUGUAAUGAGUUUUCACUAAAGGUCUCAAAUAGCUGUCAGGUCUUAUGCUCACUUUUAAGCAUGAACAUCCCACCA